GAUGAACGCUAGCUACAGGCUUAACACAUGCAAGUCGAGGGGCAGCAUGAACAUAGCUUGCUAUGUUUGAUGGCGACCGGCGCACGGGUGCGUAACACGUAUCCAAUCUACCCAUGGCUCGGGGAUAGCCUCUCGAAAGAAAGAUUAAUACCCGAUGGUCUCGGUUUAAGGCAUCUUAGACUGAGUAAAGAUUUAUCGGCGCUGGAUGAGGAUGCGUCUGAUUAGGUAGAUGGCGGGGUAACGGCCAACCAUGCCUACGAUCAGUAGGGGUUCUGAGAGGAAGGUCCCCCACAUUGGAACUGAGACACGGUCCAAACUCCUACGGGAGGCAGCAGUGAAGAAUAUUGGUCAAUGAACGAGAGUCUGAACCAACCAAGUAGCGUGAAGGAUGACUGCCCUAUGGGUUGUAAACUUCUUUUGUUUGGGAAUAAAGUUCGGGACGUGUCCCGUUUUGUAUGUACCAUUCGAAUAAGCAUCGGCUAAUUCCGUGCCAGCCGCCGCUGUAAAAC
rnacentral:rRNA from 1 species